ensembl:snRNA U6 U6 spliceosomal RNA
CAUGGCUACUCAUCUGUAAACAAUCCAAAAUGGAAUGAUGCAAUAAGGAUUGGCAUGGUCUCUGCACAAGGAUGACAUGCAAAACCAUGAAGCUUUCCAUAUAAAA